AUCCUCGAGCCGGAUUUGAACCAGCGACCUAAGGAUUACCGUUGAAACAUCUACAGUCCUCCGCUCUGCAAUUGAGUUAUCAAGGG
rnacentral:tRNA from 1 species